CGCGUAGGUGGUUCGUUAAGUUGGAUGUGAAAUCCCCGGGCUCAACCUGGGAACUGCAUUCAAAACUGACGAGCUAGAGUAUGGUAGAGGGUGGUGGAAUUUCCUGUGUAGCGGUGAAAUGCGUAGAUAUAGGAAGGAACACCAGUGGCGAAGGCGACCACCUGGACUGAUACUGACACUGAGGUGCGAAAGCGUGGGGAGCAAACAGGAUUAGAUACCCCAGUA
rnacentral:rRNA from 1 species